rnacentral:rRNA from 1 species
AUGGAAGGCCCCGUCCCUGCCCCCUCCUCCUCCGCCGCGCCCGCCGUCGCUAGGGUUCCGGCCGCCGCGCCCUCCGCUGCCGCGGCCCCGCAGCCUCUCGCCGCGCAGCAGGCGCCUGCCGCCGCGGUCGCGGGAGCCGCGGCGGGGUGCCGCAGGCAGGUGUUCUCCGUGGAGCUCCGGCCCGGGGAGACCACCAUCGUGUCGUGGAAGAAGCUGCUGAAGGAGGCUGGGCACGCGGCGGCCGCACCUUCGCAGCCGCUGGCAGUGGUACCGGCGGAGCCUGCAGUUGCUGCACAACCGGGCCCGCCUGCUGCGGCACCCCCUGCAGAAAAUGACGCAGAGGAUCCAGCGCAGCCAAAUCGGUUUAAUGCCGUUAUCGAGAAAAUUGAGCGCCUUUACAUGGGUAAACAUAGCAGCGAUGAAGAAGAUCUUGAUGAUGUACCGGACGACGAUCAAUAUGACACUGAUGAUUCUUUUAUUGAUGAUGCUGAAUUGGAUGAAUAUUUUGAAGUUGAUAAUUUGACGACUAAGCACACUGGUUUUUUUGUUAACAAAGGGACAUUGGAACAGAUUGAACCUGGUACAUCAGCAAAUGUCGCGCCAAAGAAAAGGAGAAGCAAAGACCAGUCAGCUGAUCAUAUUGAAAAUAAUCAGGGUGCUACAGGUGAUUAUUUGAAGCCUGGGAAAGCAAGCGGUCUGAAAAAAGUAGCUACUGGCAAUGGUGAAUAUUACCAUGAAGGCAGCAGAGUGGUGAAGACUAAACCCAGCGCAACCGGAGUCCUAAAAAGGAGAUCGACUGAUUUUGCCGCAGGUGUUGAUUCUACAAAACGUACAAAGAUAUCUAGUAAGGAUGUGUCAUAUUCCUCUUCAAAAGAGCUAAAAGACCUAGAAAAGUAUAAAGCUCCGGCAUUCCAGCCUACUGAUUUUGGUAAUAAGUCAACAACCAGUGAGACACAUGGCUACGCUUCAGCGUGCAGGGAUAAAGAUCCUUCAACACAACUUGAUUUUCAACAAAAACAGACUUACAAUGGGGAAAAUGAAGAUCCGACCAGCAAAAUAUAUCGCAAAGAUAUAGCUGGAACGAACGACUUCUCUAGCAUGGAUGUGUCUGGUGCUGCCUAUCCUACACAAGCAAUGCACCUGACCACUGGCAGGGAGAGUGCAGGUACCAAACCUAAAGGCACUAGGCUUGAGCGAGCCAUUCGGGAUCUCCAAAAGAUUGCUGCUAAUUACAAAUCGCCAGCUAUUGAUAUUAGUGAGGCUGACCCAAAUGUUCAGGCAUCAGCUCAAAGACGCUUGCCUCCAGAAGUAAAGCAAAAGCUUGCCAAGGUUGCAAGGCUAUCGACAAAUCAUGGAAAGGUACAAGAAAAUGAGUUGAUGGAUCGGCUCAUGGGCAUAGUUGGACACCUUGUUGUGCGUAGGACACUGAAGAGAAACAUGAAGGAAUUGGUAAAAUCAGGACUCUCUGCUAAACAAGAGAAGGCUGAUAGGUUGCAGCAAGUAAAAAUGGAGAUCAAUGAAAUGGUCAAAGCAAGUAUGGCUGCCAAGGCCAAGGUCAAUGAACAACAAGAUGGCUCAGCUGAUGAUUUUCAGACCGUCACUGACGAAAGAAGAGAUUUGAAAGGAAAGUCUGCAAUGAAUAGUGCACUGGAGGACAGAAUAUGUGAUCUGUAUGAUCUGUAUGUUGAGGGUAUGGAUGAAGACAAGGGUCCUCAAAGCAGGAAACUAUAUGUUGAGCUUGCAGAAUUAUGGCCACAAGGUUACAUGGAUAAAUUUGGAAUCAAAGAUGCCAUAUCUAGAUCAAAGGAGCGAAAGGGAACAUUACACAACCAACAGAAGGUUCUGAAUGAGGAGAGACUGAAGCGGAAAAGGCUGGCUGCGGCAGCGAAACUGCCAGAUAGCUACCCUGUUGUAACACAAAGCACAGCGGCCAUGCAAGUGGCACAUCCAUCCAUGUCCAACCCCGUUACAACAUACCCUGUGACUGACUAUGGACAGAACCAGGUCCCGAAAAGUCUUGAAAGGGUUCGCGAAACGAGCUCAAGUGCAAUAGCUGAUGAGAGCAGCAAAAAUGCUGGUGACAUGAAGAAGAAGAAAAGGAAGUCGGAUCCUGAUGUUGUCGAUACACAAGCCAACAUUGUUACCAUGCCCACCGUGCUUGGUCUCCCUUUCUAUGACCAACAACCAAGCUGA